ensembl:lncRNA
UUCUCAUAAAACGCAAAUCUCCAGUCAAGGUCUGGCUGCUCCCAUCGUCUGUUCAUUAUUGCUUACUGCUGCAGAACCCUCAAAAACGGAAAACAGGCAACUCAGAUUAUACUUUAUCUUAAAAGAUUUUGCUGAUCUCUACCACGAAUUCAUCAGGACUAAUGAGACAGAUAAGUAAAGGAUUUUGUUAUUACAUGCCAACUCCAUAAAGAUACUCUGGGCUCUUUCUAGGUCAGACUCAGGCUUGGGGCUGUGCUUUAGUGUACACUGAGCGAAGGAUAUGGCGGCUGAACAGAAAGGGCUUAGAUCCUAAAGCCUCAGGGCUUACUACCACCAGAUGCCUGAGCUGAAAGCUCUCUUUUCGAGUGCAGUUUUUCUGGAAGAAAACCUGAGGAGCUGCAGCUGCGCCUUCUCUACCUAUGCCUGGUACUUACAGCACCUCGUGGCUAAGGGGACCCGUGGUCAACUCCUCAGCUCCUGAUGGACACGUAGCCUGCAGUCUAGCAUGGGCUGGGAGAGGUAAUGGACUGGUGGAGACUGUUCCACCCACAUGGGAAUAAUUAGCAUUGCAAGGACUGUGAGGCCGCAGGCCACUGCCCAGGUCGUGCAGAAUGGAAAGAAGAAAUGUGUCUAAACCCCAGGCUGGCUGCUAAUGGCAUACCUCUGGGAUACUGGGACUCUUGGGAGCAUUUCUCUAAACUUUGUGUUGUGAAGAACAGCUGGCAGUGGCAGCAGUCAGGGGGUGGCUGCUACCCAGCCCUCCUGGCACUGAGGAGAUGGCUUUGUGCAUGCCCCUUGGGGGGGUGCAUCUUCCUGGGGCUACAUGAAGAUCUGGAGGUCUAUGCUAUCUUUUAAUUAUUGAAGGCUUGUUACAUUAAAUCCACCUGACUGCUGAAGCUCAGUCCCAGAAACUGCCUGUCAGGGAUGCUUUCUGGCUGCCAUUACAGGGAGGGACUCACUGUCAGACAGGUGUCUGGCCUCACUAGGCCUCGUUUGACUGCAUUAUGCUUUGCAAGGCCUUGCUAGAUUUUGCUAGGUUUGCUAGGCCUUACUCAGCAUCACUAGGCUUUGCUAGGCCUCUCUAGGUCUCAGUAGGCCGCUCUAGGCUUUGCCAGGCCUCACUAGGCUUCCCUAGGCCUCGCUAGGCCUCACUAGGAUGCAUCACUGCGCAGACAAUUCUCAGCUAGGCCAUGAAGCCUGACCCAAGUUUAAUUUUAUACUUCACCUCUGUUUAAACACAACACAGGCUGCUCUGUGCCACCCAGUGCUGGUGCAAGGAAUGAGUGGAUCUGCCAUGAUGCUGCUGCCUGAAGGCCUUCCCUUAGGGGCUCUGUGAUGGGCACCACCUGGGCAGCAGUUUCACAUGUGACACUGUUUUUGUUUUCAAUUCAUGUUGGACAAGGCUUUUUGCUUCUGUUGUACCGCUCCCAACAUUUUCUGCUCUUUCAUUUUUAAUAUUGAACCUGUACUUUGUAGAAAGGAAAUCGGUCAAAACUUUAUUCUCCCCACUAGCAAAUCGUUGGCUCAUGACUUCUGUUACAUCCAACUAUCAAAGCAAUG